UAUUAAUGGUGUCAACUAUACAAGUGACAUGGAUGUUAUUGGAACCAUUAAAUGUCCACCUGGAACUGUUCAUGGAAAUGGUAUUUGUGUUGAGUGUUCCCCAGGAGAAUAUUAUAAAGAAAACGAUGAUAUUUGUGAAUAUUGUGCAGUAGGGACUUAUCAACCUGAUAUUGGACAAACGUUUUGUUUUAAUUGUCCAGAUGGAUUGAUGACACAAUUUAUCGGCUCAGACAGAUUGUCAGAUUGUUUAUUUACGAAAAUUGAUGACAACUCUACACCAGUCAGUUAUCUCUGGAUCGCUAUUGUAGUGCCGGUAACCGUAGUUGUAACAGUAUUUGUAGUCGCGGUACUGCUGAUUGUUCGAAAUAACUUGAAGAGUAAAAAUCCGAUAGGCGUGAAGAAAGAACAGUUUUAGUUAACUUUACAGUAGACAUAGUGUGCGAAUUAUUACAUAAUUGUGAUUCCUAGUGUUGCUUUUUCUAAUUUUAUAGUGUAAUCAUUGGUUUAAUCGUGUAAUCUAUGGUUUAAUCUUGUAAUCAAUGGUUUAAUCGUGUAAUCAAUGGUUUAAUCGUGUAAUCAAUGGUU